CUCAGCUCCUCCUCUUCCUGUGGAGACACUGUCCCAGUAGCACCCCGACCUGGAGGGGACACAACACUUUACCAUCUUGUUGUGGUCUGAACAAACAAAUCAAUUGGGGUCAGGUAGGAUGCCCGGAUCCCCACACCAGCACUCUUCUCUCUGCCUUUGGACUUCACAGCCGCAGUCUUCUUGAUGGAGUAGAUACCCAUGAUGGUUACUCGGUUGCCUGGGACCACACGGUCACACAGGUACCUGACAAAGGAAGUACUAUGGGCUUCAACUCACCGGCGACCCAAGUAUGGACAAGCGUUAUAUAAACUGAAUGGAUGGACCACAAAAAAAAGAACAGCUCUGUCAUGCGCUGUCAUCUGUGUCUGCUUAAAAAUGCCCACAGUUCACCCUACUCCACUCGGAACUUCAGCAACAUACAAGAGGCUGCCCCGGUCUACGUUUGCAAAAUGUAGUGUUCAGUGGCAUAAAAGCAGCAGGUCAACAACUGCAAAUGAAUGCAAAUUGCACUUUUUGGCAUUCAAAAGGAGGAGGGAGACUAAGCAUUCCCCAAUGGAUGCACAGCCUAAAGAUAAAGAUAUACGUUGCAAGCAAGCACUCAAACUUUUUUCGAGCAAUGGAACGGAUGUCGGUAUUGCUGAUGAUAAAUGUGGGUCAAUUCACCAGUCAAAGUUCAAUAUCAUCAAAUUAUAUAUAAUUAUUCAUAUCUGCCUAGUGAGCCUAUUGUGCUCUCUCAUAUGUGAACAAAGAAAGUUAAUUUUAAUCUUUUAUUGUGGCUAAACUUGCCUUUGUUUAUUAAUUGUAUUUAAAAAAUAUUGUUUCAAAGUGAGUUUGUUGGGCACAGUUCUAUUUUGCACACUCCCCUUUUCUAUUUUUGUUUAUAGGACAUGCACUAUUUAAAAAAAUAAAUCAGAAGUUACCAGCUA